CCUACAGGCAGCAGUGGGGAAUAUUGGACAAUGGGGGCAACCCUGAUCCAGCCAUGCCGCGUGAGUGAUGACGGCCUUAGGGUUGUAAAGCUCUUUUCUCCGGGACGAUAAUGACGGUACCGGAGGAAUAAGCCCCGGCUAACUUCGUGCCAGCAGCCGCGGUAAUACGAAGGGGGCUAGCGUUGCUCGGAAUCACUGGGCGUAAAGGGCGCGUAGGCGGCUGAUUUAGUCGAGGGUGAAAGCCCGUGGCUCAACCACGGAAUGGCCUUCGAUACUGGUUGGCUUGAGACCGGAAGAGGACAGCGGAACUGCGAGUGUAGAGGUGAAAUUCGUAGAUAUUCGCAAGAACACCAGUGGCGAAGGCGGCUGUCUGGUCCGGUUCUGACGCUGAGGCGCGAAAGCGUGGGGAGCAAACAGGAUUAGAUACCCUGGUAGUCCACGCUGUAAACGAUGAAUGCUAGCCGUUGGGGUGCAUGCACCUCAGUGGCGCCGCUAACGCAUUAAGCAUUCCGCCUGGGGAGACGGUCGCAAGAUUAAAACUUAAGGAAUUGACGG
rnacentral:rRNA from 1 species